UGGGAAGUGACUGUGCUGGGCAUGGGUC
rnacentral:piRNA from 1 species